GACGAACGCUGGCGGCGUGCUUAGCACAUGCAAGUCGAGCGGUAAGGCCCCUUCGGGGGUACACGAGCGGCGAACGGGUGCGUAACACGUGAGCAAUCUGCCCAUCACAUCGGGAUAACUCCGGGAAACCGAAGCUAAUACCGAAUACGACCACCUCCGGCAUCGGAUGGUGGUGGAAAGUUCCGGCGGUGAUGGAUGAGCUCGCGGCCUAUCAGCUUGUUGGUGGGGUAACGGCCCACCAAGGCUUCGACGGGUAGCCGGCCUGAGAGGGUGACCGGCCACACUGGGACUGAGACACGGCCCAGACUCCUACGGGAGGCAGCAGUGGGGAAUAUUGGACAAUGGGCGAAAGCCUGAUCCAGCAACGCCGCGUGAGGGAUGACGGCCUUCGGGUUGUAAACCUCUUUCAGCAGGGACGAAGCGCAAGUGACGGUACCUGCAGAAGAAGCACCGGCCAACUACGUG
rnacentral:rRNA from 1 species